AACGAGCGCUGGCGGCAGGCUUAACACAUGCAAGUCGAGCGCCCCGCAAGGGGAGCGGCAGACGGGUGAGUAACGCGUGGGAAUCUACCCAUCUCUACGGAAUAACGCAUGGAAACGUGUGCUAAUACCGUAUACGUCCUUCGGGAGACAGAUUUAUCGGAGAUGGAUGAGGCCGCGUUGGAUUAGCUAGUUGGUGGGGUAAAGGACUACCAAGGCGACGAUCCAUAGCUGGUCUGAGAGGAUGAUCAGCCAAACCGGGACUGAGACACGGCCCAGACUCCUACGGGAGGCAGCAGUGGGGAAUAUUGGACAAUGGGCGCAAGCCUGAUCCAGCCAUGCCGCGUGAGUGAUGAAGGCCCUAGGGUUGUAAAGCUCUUUCACCGGUGAAGAUAAUGACGGUAACCGGAGAAGAAGCCCCGGCUAACUUCGUGCCAGCAGCCGCCGUAAUAC
rnacentral:rRNA from 1 species